UAUCUUUGCAAAAAUUUUGGUUUCCAGUAUUUUGGAAUGAAAAGGGAAUCGGGUGUAACUCCCGGACUGUCCCCGCAACUGUAAAUCGCAACACAAGUUUCUGCAAAAAGCCACUGUUUAACAACGGGAAGGGGCAGAAUGCGAAAGUCAGGAGACCUGCCAGGAUUAUAACAAAAAAC
rnacentral:ncRNA from 24 species